UCUCCUGUAGUCUCAGUGGUAGAGCGUCCCACUGGUGUGGAGAAGGUCAUAGGUUCGACUCCUGUUGGGAGAA